rnacentral:lncRNA from 1 species
UUUUUUUGUCUAGCGAAAGACCUGUACCUCAAGGCGAGCGGGCCGCCUAAUUACAUAACUGUAACUCCGUAUCUCCGUGUUUCUACGUCUCCCUUUCCCCCCCCCCCAGCCCACCCGCUGCUGGAGGAGGAUGCUGCGGCCGCGCGCGGAGCCAGGCCCCGGGCGCGCUUCUUGCUGGAAAACCCCGGAGCGAGGCCGUCAGCGUGUGGGGCUUGGUGCCACGGGCAGCCCGCCGCCGCCCCCGCGCCCAGGGGAUGAUGUAGAGGGCCAGGAGCGGCUGGGUGAUAGGGAGCAGCGGUCGCGCUAAGGCAAAACCAGGCAGGCGUCAACGAAAACAACCCGAGUAGCUCAGUUUGGGGAACGAUAUUUUUGCUCUCAACACCGUACGAUGCUCUGCGUAGAGAAUCAAGUGUCUAAAGCGUGCCACAGGCAAGCCCUUCAACGCAGGAAUCUGAAAACCGUGGAGGAGUUGCCCGGAGUGGUUCACAUGCUGCUGUGCAGUGGCGCGCAGCCGCUGCCAGGACAGAUUGAGUACAAGAUGGAGAUGAUCCUCCAAAGACGCCUUUCACCAAAAAAAAAAAAAGCGCUCACUUUCUGCAGACAACCUCAUCGUGUUGGACCAGAGAUACUUCUUACCUUGACAGAAAAGACAGACUAUGGGCGCAGAUUGGGAAUUGGAAGACUCUCAAGAUAAAACAGAAUUGUCAUGUGGAGGUGACAUUGCAGUAACCUUUAUAACUUCCUUAAGAAGCAAGUGUUAAAGGAGAGCAGUGGAAGAAAUGGUUCAUUGCAACUUAAUGCUCAGCAGCCUAAUUAGCCAAAUACCAUGUGCCUACCUCUGCAUGAAAUAACCCAUUUCUUUCCAAG